AAGGUAGCAUAAUAAUUAGCCCUCUAAUUAGGGGAUAGUAUCAACGAGCGCACGAGAAAGUAACUGUCUCUUAAACAAAAAUAAAAAUUAACCUUUAGGUGAAGAGGCCUAGAUUAAAUUAAAGGACAAAAAGACCCUAUUGAGCUUUACUUAUUUAAAUACUUUUUCUAUUUUCUAUCCAACGGAAAAUUUUAAUAUAGUUUGGUUGGGGCGACCGAGGAAAAUAAAACACUUCCUUUAACAAAAAGACUCCAUGUCACCCAAAAGAGCCGUUAUACGAUUUUUGAAAACAGCUACCUUAGGGAUAACAGGCUAAUCCCCCUUGAGAGUCCACAUUGACAGGGGGGUUUGGCACCUCGAUGUUGGCUUAAGGCACCCAUUAGAUGAAGACGUCAUAAACGGUAGGUUUGUUCAACCUUUAAAGCCCUUACGUGAU
rnacentral:rRNA from 1 species